rnacentral:rRNA from 1 species
UACGUAGGGUGCGAGCGUUGUCCGGAAUUAUUGGGCGUAAAGAGCUUGUAGGCGGUUUGUCGCGUCUGCUGUGAAAAUCCGGGGCUCAACCCCGGACUUGCAGUGGGUACGGGCAGACUAGAGUGUGGUAGGGGGAGACUGGAAUUCCUGGUGUAGCGGUGAAAUGCGCAGAUAUCAGGAGGAACACCGAUGGCGAAGGCAGGUCUCUGGGCCACUACUGACGCUUGAGAAGCGAAAGCAUGGGGAGCGAACAGG